AGGUAUCAGAGUUACGUUUUGGUGGCUGAGAUGCAGAAGUGGCUCGUUUGAUGCGAUGCACACGGAAAUUUACCUUUAUGUAGGAUGCAGUGGUCAGCUGUGAAGUGGACUCGUAGGAAUUAAUCACUUAUUUGCUCAAACCCGUCUUGUUAUCAAACACAGUCAAUUGACCAACUGACAUGGAGACAUAAGAAUUGCUUGUAUUAAUCAGUACCUUUCAGUUGAUCUUUGUUUGCAUGCAUUCUGUGUGUGUGUGUGUGUGUGCAUAUUUUUAUUGUUUUGUUUUGCUUGCUGUUCCAUGUUGUCUCUGACGGAGAGAAUUCCGCAUCAAAUUUAAUUUCUGCUCCUGUCCCAUUUUGCGUGUUUGUUUUGUAUCUGGUUCUGACUGAUCAAUGUUGAGUUGCUUGCUUUCGCUGGAUUCAGGAAGGUUUCUGUGAGAUUGCUAAUGUUUUAACCUGUUAUGAUAUAAACAUGCCACUUUGAGAUUUGCAAAACUUAACACAAGUGAUGCGCCGACGCGCGGAAACACAUGUUGCUUCUCACGCACCUGCUGUUGUUGCUGCUGCCGAGGGCGUCCUCUGAAGCCGCCGCUGCCAUUAGAGGGAGAGGGCUGCCGGUCACCGCGGUCACCACUACGGUCGCGCCCCCUUCGUCCUCGCCCGUGAUAGGAUCUGUCACGGGAUGAGCCACGGCCUCUAUAGACUGCAUUAGCGGAUGUAUGAAACCCGCCUGAAGAAGAGUCGCCCAACAUCUCCAUCCUUUGAUCAAAGGCAGAGAUCUGAGCAAAAAGAUCAUCGGCGGUGAUGCUGUUCUUGACAGCGCCGAUCGCCGCCACCACGGAGUCGUAGUCGCGGUCCAGACCUGCAAGUAUCACUAGUAGAAAAGGGGGCAAUGGUCCAGGCCGGGUAAGCCCAUUAGUCCCGGUUCAAUCCAGAAACGGGACCAAUGGGGGCAUUGGACCUGGUUUGUGAGCCCCGAGGGCCGGCCGGGCCACGUGGGCCAUUGGUCCCGGUUCGACUGGACCUAUUGGUCCCGGUUGGUGGGACGAACCGGGACCAAUGGGCCUCGCUCCUGGCCCACCACCAUUGGUCCCGGUUGGUGGUGUGAACCGGGACCAAAGGCCACCCAAUAGUCCCGGUUCGUGGCACGAACCGGGACCAAUUAGUUGCCUAUAUAUACCCCUCGCUCGCGAGCAGAGCACUCUGAGUGCUCUGUUUUUCGUGGCCGGCGAGGGGAGAGCAUUGUGGUGCUCUAGCUCACCUCCUAUGUGUUGGGGAACGUAGCAGAAAUUCAAAAUUUUCCUAUGUGUCACCAAGAUCUAUCUAUGGAGAAACCAGCAACGAGGGGAAGGAGAGUGCAUCUACAUACCCUUGUAGAUCGCUAAGCGGAAGCGUUCAAGAGAACGGGGUUGAAGGAGUCGCACUCGUCGUGAUCCAAAUCACCGGAGAUCCUAGUGCCGAACGGACAGCACCUCCGCGUUCAACACACGUACAGCCCGGUGACGUCUCCCAUGCCUUGAUCCAGCAAGGAGAGAGGGAGAGGUUGAGGAAGACUUCAUCCAGCAGCAGCACAACAGCGUGGUGGUGAUGGAGGAGCGUGGCAAUCCUGCAGGAUUUCGCCAAGCACCGCGGGAGAGGAGGAGUACUUGGGAGAGGGGGAGGGCUGCGCCAGAACUUGUGGUGCGGCUGCCCUCCCACCCCCCACAUAUAUAUAGGGGCAAAGGAGAGGGGGGCUGGCCCCCUCAGAUCCAAUCCGAGGAGGGGGCGGCGGCCAAGGGGGGGAGGAGUGCCUCCCAAGUCAAGUGGAGGCCCUCCCCCUUAGGGUUUUCCCCUUCCCAUGCGCAUGGGCCUUGGGGGGGCUGGUUCCCCUGGCCCAUUAAGGCUAGGGCGCCCCCUUACAGCCCAUGCUUCUGUAUUGGACGUGGUGGAACAAUUUCCGGACCUCCGGACCCCUCCGGAAUCCUCCGGAACCUUCUGGAAGCUUCCCGGUACAAUACCGGAAAAACCCGAACUUUUCCCGGAACCCGAACAACAACUUUCCAUAUAUAAAUCUUUACCUCCGGACCAUUCCGGAACUCCUGGUGACGUCCGGGAUCUCAUCCGGGACUCCGAACAACAUUCGGUAAUAACAUACAAACUUCCUUUAUAACCCUAGCGUCAUCGAACCUUAAGUGUGUAGACCCUACGGGUUCGGGAGACAUGUAGACAUGACCGAGACGUUCUCCGGUCAAUAACCAACAGCAGGAUCUGGAUACCCAUGUUGGCUCCCACAUGUUCCACGAUGAUCUCGUCGGAUGAACCACGAUGUCAAGGACUCAAUCGAUCCCGUAUACAAUUCCCUUUGUCUAACGGUAUUGUACUUGCCCGAGAUUCGAUCGUCGGUAUGCCGAUACCUAGUUCAAUCUCGUUACCGGCAAGUCUCUUUACUCGUUCCGUAAUACAUCAUCCCAUGAUCAACCCUUUGAUCACAUUGUGCACAUUAUGAUGAUGUCCUACCGAGUGGGCCCAGAGAUACCUCUCCGUUUACAUGGAGUGACAAAUCCCAAUCUCGAUUCGUGCCAACCCAACAGACACUUUUGGAGAUACCUGUAGUGCACCUUUAUAGCCACCCAGUUACGUUGUGACGUUUGGUACACCCAAAGCGUUCCUAUAGUAUCCGGGAGUUGCACAAUCUCGUGGUCUAAGGAAAUGAUACUUGACAUUAGAAAAGCUUUAGCAUACGAACUACGAUCUUUGUGCUAGGCUUAGGAUUGGGUCUUGUCCAUCACAUCAUUCUUCCAAUGAUGUGAUCCCGUUAUCAAUGACAUCCAAUGUCCAUGGUUAGGAAACCGUAACCAUCUAUUGAUCAACGAGCUAGUCAACUAGAGGCUUACUAGGGACAUGGUGUUGUCUAUGUAUCCACACAUGUAUCUGAGUUUCCUAUCAAUACAAUUAUAGCAUGGAUAAUAAACGAUUAUCAUGAACAAGGAAAUAUAAUAAUAACUAAUUUAUUAUUGCCUCUAGGGCAUAUUUCCAACAGUCUCCCACUUGCACUAGAGUCAAUAAUCUAGUUCACAUCGCCAUGUGAUUAACACUCACAGGUCACAUCGCCAUGUGACCAACAUCCAAAGAGUUUACUAGUGUCAUUAAACUAGUUCACAUCAUCAUGUGAUUAAGACUCAAUGAGUUCUGGGGUUUGAUCAUGUUUUGCUUGUGAGAGAGGUUUUAGUCAAUGGGUCUGCAACAAUCAGAUCUGUAUGUACUUCGCAAUUCUCUAUGUCAUAUUGUAAAUGCUGCUUCCACGCUCCACUUGAAGCUAUUCCAAAUGGUUGCUCCACUAUACGUAUCCGGUUUGCUACUCAGAGUCAUUCAGAUAGGUGUUAAAGCUUGCAUCGUCGUAACCCUUUACGCCGAACUCUUUAUCACCUCCAUAAUCGAGAAAUAAAUCCUUAUUACUCCAAGGACAAUUUUGACCGCUAUCUGGUGAUCCACUCCUUGAUCACCUUUGUACCCUCUUGCCAGACAUGUGGCAAGGCACAUAUCAUGUGCGGUAUAUAGCAUAGCAUACUGUAGAGCCUACGUCUAAAGCAUAGGGGACGACCUUCAUCCUUUCUCUCUUUUUUCUGCCGUGGUCGAGCUUUAAGUCUUAACUUCAUACCUUACAACUCAGCCAAGAACUCCUUUGACUGAUCCAUCUUGAACACUUUCAAGAUCAUGUCAAGGUAUGUGCUCAUUUUGAAAGUACCAUUAAGCAUUUUGAUCCAUCCUCAUAGAUCUUGAUGCUCAAUGUUCAAGUAGCUUAAUCCAGGUUUUCCCUUGAAAAACACUUUUCAAAUAACCCUAUAUGCUUUCCAGAAAUUCUACAUCAUUUCUGAUCAACAAUAUGUCAACAACAUAUACUCAUCAUAAAUUCUAUAGUGCUCCCACUCACUUCUUUGGAAAUACAAGUUUCUCAUAAACUUUGUAUAAACUCAAAAUCUUUGAUCAUCUCAUCAAAGCGUUCAUUCCAACUCCGAGAUGCUUACUCCAGUCCUUAGAAGGAUCGCUGGAGCUAGCAUACCUUUUAGCACCCUUAGGAUUGACAAAACCUUUCUGAUUGUAUCGCAUACAACCUUUCCUUACGAAAACUGGUAAGGAAACUAGUUUUGACAUCCAUCUGCCAGAUUUCAUAAAUGCAGCUAAUGCUAACAUGAUUCCGACGGACUUUAAGCAUCGCUACGGAUGAGAAAAUCUCAUCGUAGUCAACUCCUUGAACUUGUGAAAAACUCUUCGCCACAAGUCGAGCUUCAUAGAUGGUGACAUUACCGUCCACGUCCGUCUUCUUCUUAAAGAUCCAUUUAUCUCAAUGGCUUGCCGAUCAUCGGGCAAGUCCACCAAAGUUCAUGCUUUGUUCUGAUACAUGGAUCCUAUCUCGGAUUUCAUGGCUUCUAACCAUUUGUCGGAAUAUGGGCCCACCAUCGCUUCUCCAUAGCUCGUAGGUUCAUUGUUGUCUAGCAACAUGACCUUCAAGACAGGAUUACUGUACCACUCUGAAGUAGUAUGCAUCCUAGUCACCCUACGAGGUACGGUAGUGACUUGAUCCAAAACUUCAUGAUCACUAUCAUAAGCUUCUACUUCAAUUGGUGUAGGCGCCACAGGAACAACUUCCUGUGCCCUGCUACACACUUGUUGAAGUGACGGUUUAAUAACCUCAUCAAGUCUCCACCAUCCUCCCACUCAACUCUUUCGAGAGAAACUUUUCCUCGAGAAAGGACCCGUUUCUAGAAACAAUCCCUAUUGCUUUUAGAUCUCAAUUAGGAGGUAUACCCAACUGUUUUGGGUGUCCUAUGAAGAUGCAUUUUAUCCGCUUUGGGUUCGAGCUUAUCAACCUGAAACUUUUUCACAUAAGCAUUGCAGCCCCAAACUUUUAAGAAAUGACAACUUAGGUUUCUCCAAACCAUAGUUCAAACGGUGUCAUCUCAAUGGAAUUACAUGGUGCCCUAUUUGAAAGUGAAUGCGGUUGUCUCUAAUGCCUAACCCAUGAACGAUAGUGGUAAUUCGAUAAGAGACAUCAUGGUACGCACCAUAUCCAAUAGGGUGCAACUAUGAUGUUCGGACACACCAUCACACUAUGGUGUUCCAGGCGGUAUUAAUUGUGAAACAAUUUCCACAAUGUCUUAAUUGCGUGCCAAAGCUCGUAACUCAGAUACUCAUCUCUAUGAUCAUAUCAUAGACAUUUUAUCCUCUUAUCACGAUGAUCUUCAACUUCACUCUGAAAUUACUUGAACCAUUCAAUAAUUCAGACUUGUGUUUCAUCAAGUAAAUAUACUUAGUAUCUACUCAAAUCAUCCGUGAAGUAAGAACAUAACGAUAUCCACUGUGUGCCUUAGCACUCAUUGGACUGCACACAUCAAAAAUGUGUUACUUCCAACAAGUUGCUAUCUAGUUCCAUCUUACUGAAAACGAGGCUUUUCAGUCAUCUUGCCCAUGUGGUAAGAUUUGCAUAUCUCAAGUGAUUCAAAAUCAAGUGAGUCCAAACGAUCCAUCUGCAUGGAGUUUCUUCAUGCGUAUACACCAAUAGACAUGGUUCGCAUGUCUCAAACUUUUCAAAAACGAGUGAGUCCAAAGAUCCAUCAACAUGGAGCUUCUUCAUGCGUUUUUAUACCAAUAUGACUUACAUGGCAGUGCCACAAGUAAGUGGUACUAUCAUUACUAUCUUAUAUCUUUUGGCAUGAAAAUGUGUAUCACUACGAUCGAGAUUCAAUAAACCAUUCCUUUAGGUGCAAGACCAUUAAAGGUAUUGUUCAAAUAAAUAGAGUAACCAUUAUUCUCCUUAAAUGAAUAACCGUAUUGCGAUAGACAUAAUCCAAUCAUGUCUAUGCUCAACGCAAACACCAAAUGACAAUUAUUCAGGUUUAAUACUAAUCUUGAUGGUAGAGGGAGCGUGCGAUGUUUGAUCACAUCAAACUUGGAAAUACUUCCAACACACAUCGUCAGCUCACCUUUAGCUAGUCUCUGUUCGUAGCUUUUAUUUCGAGUUACUAACACUUAGCAACCGAACUGGUAUCUAAUACCCUGGUGCUACUAGGAGUACUAGUAAAGUACACAUUAACAUAAUGUAUAUCCAAUAUACUUCUAUCGACCUUGCCAGCCUUCUUAUCUACCAAGUAUCUAGGGUAAUUCUGCUUCAGUGGUUGUUCCCCUUAUUACAGAAGCACUUAGUCUCGGGUUUGGGUUCAACCUUGGGUUUCUUCACUAGAGCAGCAGCUGAUUUGCCAUUUCAUGAAGUAUCCCUUGCCCUUGCCCCUUUUGAAACUAGUGGUUUCACCAACCAUCAACAAUUGAUGCUCCUUCUUGAUUUCUACUUUCGCGGUGUCAAACAUCGUGAAUACUUCAAGGAUCAUCAUAUCUAUCCCUGAUAUGUUAUAGUUCAUCACGAAGCUCUAGCAGCUUGGUGGCAAUGACUUUUGAGAAACAUCACUAUCUCUGGAAGAUCAACUCCCACUCGAUUCAAGUGAUUGUCGCACUCAGACAAUCUGAGCACAAGCUCAACGAUUGAGCUUUUCUCCCUUAGUUUGCAGGCUAGAAAAAUCGUCGGAGGUCUCAUACCUCUUGAUGUGGGCACGAGCCUGAAAUCCCAAUUUCAGCCCUCGAAACAUCUCAUAUGUUCCGCGACGUUUCGAAAACGUCUUUGGUGCCUCAACUCUAAAUCGUUUAACUGAACUAUCACGUAGUUAUCAAAACGUGUAUGUCCGAUGUUCGCAACAUCCACAGACGACGUUUGGGGUUCAGCACACUGAGCGGUGCAUUAAGGACAUAAGCUUUCUAUUGUUCGCAUAAUCGCUACUGUCAACUUUCAACUAUAUUUUCUCUAGGAACAUAUCUAAACAGUGGAACUAAAGCGCUAGCUUACGACAUAAUUUGCAAAGAUCUUUUGACUAUGUUCAGGAUAAUUAAGUUCAUCUUAUGAACUCCCACUCAGAUAGACAUCCCUCUAGUUAUCUAAGUGAUUACAUGAUCCGAGUCAACUAGGCCGUGUCCGAUCAUCACGUGAGACGGACUAGUCAUCAUCGGUGAACAUCUUCAUGUUGAUCAUAUCUACUAUACGACUCAUGCUCGACCUUUUGGUCUCUUGUGUUCCGAGGCAAUGUGUGUACAUGCUAGGCUCGUCAAGUCAACCUAAGUGUUCCGCGUGUGUAAAUCUGUCUUACACCCGUUGUAUGUGAACGUAAGAAUCUAUCACACCCGAUCAUCACGUGGUGCUUCGAAACGACGAACUUUCGCAACGGUGCACAGUUAGGGGGGACACUUUCCUGAAAUUUUAAUGAGGGAUCAUCUUAUCUACUACCGUCGUUCUAAGCAAAUAAGAUGCAUAAACAUGAUAAACAUCACAUGCAAUCAAAUGGUGACAUGAUAUGGCCAAUAUCAUUUUGCUCCUUUUGAUCUCCAUCUUCGGAGCUCCAUGAUCAUCAUCAUCACCGGCAUGACACCAUGAUCUCCAUCAUCAUGAUCUCCAUCAUCGUGUCUCCAUGAAGUUGUCUCGCCAACUUAUUACUUCUACUACUAUGGCUACCGGUUAGCAAUAAAGUAAAGUAAUUACAUGACGUUGUUCAAUGACACGCAGGUCAUUCAAUAAAUAAAGACAACUCCUAUGGCUCCUGUCGGUUGUCAUACUCAUUGACAUGCAAGUAGUGAUUCCUAUUACAAGAACAUGAUCAAUCUCAUACAUCACAUAUCAUUCAUCACAUUCUUCUUGGCCAUAUCACAUCACAAAGCGUACCCUGCAAAAACAAGUUAGACGUCCUCUAAUUAUUGUUUGCAUGUUUUACGUGGCUGCUAUGGGUUUCUAGCAAGAACGUUUCUUACCUACGCAAAAGCCACAACGUGAUAUGCCAAUUGCUAUUUACCCUUCAUAAGGACCCUUUACAUCGAAUCCGAUCCGACUAAAGUGGGAGAGACUGGCACCCGCUAGCCACCUUAUGCAACAAGUGCAUGUCAGUCGGUGGAACUUGUCUCACGUAAGAGUACGUGUAAGGUCGGUUCGGGCCGCUUCAUCCCACGAUGCCGCCGAAUCAAGAUUGGACUAGUAACAGUAAGCAUAUUGAACAAAAUCAAAGCCCACAACUACUUUUUGUUCUACUCGUGCAAAGAAUCUACGCAAUAGACCUAGCUCAUGAUGCCACUGUUGGGGAACGUAGCAGAAAUCCAAAAUUUUCCUACGUGUCACCAAGAUCUAUCUAUGGAGAAACCAGCAACGAGGGGAAGGAGAGUGCAUCUACAUACCCUUGUAGAUCGCUAAGCGGAAGCAUUCAAGAGAACGGGGUUGAAGGAGUCGUACUCGUCGUGAUCCAAAUCACCGGAGAUCCUAGUGCCGAACGGAUGGCACCUCCGCGUUCAACACACGUACAGCCCGGUGACGUCUCCCAUGCCUUGAUCCAGCAAGGAGAGAGGGAGAGGUUGAGGAAGACUCCAUCCAACAGCAGCACAACAGCGUGGUGGUGAUGGAGGAGCGUGGCAAUCCUGCAGGGCUUCACCAAGCACCGCGGGAGAGGAGGAGUACUUGGGAGAGGGGGAGGGCUGCGCCAGAACUUGUGGUGCGGCUGCCCUCCCACCCCCCACAUAUAUAUAGGGGCAAAAGAAAGGGGGGCCGGCCCCCUCAGAUCCAAUCUGAGGAGGGGGCGGCGGCCAAGGGGGGGAGGAGUGCCUCCCAAGUCAAGUGGAGGCCCUCCCCCUUAGGGUUUUCCCCUUCCCAUGCACAUGGGCCUUGGGGGGGCUGGUUCCCCUGGCCCAUUAAGGCUAGGGAGCCCCCUUACAGCCCAUGCUGCUGUAUUGUACGUGGUGGAACAAUUUCUGGACCUCCGGACCCCUCCGGAAUCCUCCGGAACCUUCUGGAAGCUUCCCGGUACAAUACCGGAAAAACCCGAACUUUUCCCGGAACCCGAACAACAACUUUCCAUAUAUAAAUCUUUACCUCCGGACCAUUCCGGAACUCCUCGUGACGUCCGGGAUCUCAUCCGGGACUCCGAACAACAUUCGGUAACCACAUACAAACUUCCUUUAUAACCCUAGCGUCAUCGAACCUUAAGUGUGUAGACCCUACGGGUUCGGGAGACAUGUAGACAUGACCGAGACGUUCUUCGGUCAAUAACCAACAGCGGGAUCUGGAUACCCAUGUUGGCUCCCACAUGUUCCAUGAUGAUCUCAUCGGAUGAACCACGAUGUCAAGGACUCAAUUGAUCCCGUAUACAAUUCCCUUUGUCUAACGGUAUUGUACUUGCCCGAGAUUCGAUCGUCAGUAUGUCGAUACCUAGUUCAAUCUCGUUACCGGCAAGUCUCUUUACUCGUUCCGCAACACAUCAUCCCGUGAUCAACCCUUUGAUCACAUUGUGCACAUUAUGAUGAUGUCCUACCGAGUGGGCCUAGAGAUACCUCUCCGUUUACAUGGAGUGACAAAUCCCAGUCUCGAUUCGUGCCAACCCAACAGACAUUUCCGGAGAUACCUGUAGUGCACCUUUAUAGCCACCCAGUUACGUUGUGACAUUUGGUACACCCAAAGGAUUCCUACUGUAUCCGGGAGUUGCACAAUCUCGUGGUCUAAGGAAAUGAUACUUGACAUUAGAAAAGCUUUAGCAUACAAACUACGAUCUUUGUGCUAGGCUUAGGAUUGGGUCUUGUCCAUCACAUCAUUCUCCCAAUGAUGUAAUCCCGUUAUCAAUGACAUCCAAUGUCCAUGGUUAGGAAACCGUAACCAUCUAUUGAUCAACGAGCUAGUCAACUAGAGGCUUACUAGGGACAUGGUGCUGUCUAUGUAUCCACACAUGUAUCUGAGUUUCCUAUCAAUACAAUUAUAGCAUGAAUAAUAAACGAUUAUCAUGAACAAGGAAAUAUAAUAAUAACUAAUUUAUUAUUGCCUCUAGGGCAUAUUUCCAACACUAUGCACACGAGGUGUUUGAUGGAAUGCCUGAGCCACACUACUUAAGCUUUCUCCUCUCCAAGCUCGACCUCCAAGCUCCAUUUUCCUCAAUAUUUGUCUAGGUUUAGCGGUCCGUCACGUCCCGUCCCCGUCUUCACCGCCGUCGAUCGCCCGCGCCGAUCUCGUCGCCGGCACCACCGUGGUGAGCCUCUUGUUCUUAUCUUCUUUCUGAAAGGAAAAAAAUUCUUACUUGUAUGUUUAUAUAGAUACUUGUAUAAUUUUCUUACUUUUAUUAUUGCAUCUUAUAUAGUGCGAUGGUUUUGGUAUCCGCCCCCGUCAGCCCUCGUCCUGUCUAUGAUUCGGAUGUGGUAUAUAUUAUCUUUUCAUAACUAUUGGUUCAUUUAUUGUUUAUGACAAUUAUGCCGACCAAUGUGACAUAGAUUUUAUUUAUCUAGGAGGUUGUUGAACCGGAAAUUCCAACCGACCCUAUUGUCGAGAGGUUAAAUUUAGUUGAAGAAGAAAACAAUUUGUUGAAGGAAAAACUUAGAAAAAUUGAGGAGGAGAAGAUGAUAUUGGAGUUGCAUGUUGCGGAUGUCGUCGAUGAUCAAAAGAUCAAGAUGGAUGCAAUGCGCUUGAAGAUUAGAAAGAUUAGAAAAUAUGCCAUUCAUACCGAGGCUUGGUAUCAUUAUGUCGUUGGAUCAGUUGUUACAUUGGUUGCGAUUAUGAUCGCAUUUGUCUUCGCAUUGAAAUGUUUUACAUAAUUUCAAUUCAUGGUUUAAUUAAUUUAGAUGCUCUGCAGAGCUUUAUGUUGUUAGAUGAGAACUAUGUAUGUACUUUGGUUUUAAUGUGAUGAUGAACUUCUAUUAAUUUGGUCACUUAAUUAUCUAUUCAUGAUGUUCUGUAAUGAUUUUUGAUGCACUUAAUUAUAUAUAAUGCACGCAGAUGAACCGACAAUGGAUGUACGGUUCAAGACACACCUCCAAGUACAUUAAGGGCAUGCAUGAUUUUCUCGAAGUGGCUGAGGCAAACAAGCAGAAUGGUUUUAUGUGUUGUCCAUGCCCUAUAUGUGGGAAUACGAAGUCUUACUCUGACCGGAAAAUCCUCCACACCCACCUGCUUUACAAGGGUUUCAUGCCACACUAUAAUGUUUGGACGAGGCAGGAAGAAAUAGGGGUUAUGAUGGAAGACGGCGAAGAAGAAGAGUACGAUGACAACUAUGUGCCCCCUGAAUAUGGUGAUGCUACUGAACAUCAAGAGGAACCAGACGAUGUGCACGAUGAUGCUGCAACGGGCGAAGCUGCUGAAGAUCAAGAGGAACCAGACGAUGUGCCCGAUGAUGAUGAUCUCCGCCGGGUCAUUGUCGAUGCAAGGACGCAAUGCGAAAGUCAAAAGGAGAAGUUGAAGUUCGAUCGCAUGUUAGAGGACCACAAAAAAGGGUUGUACCCCAAUUGCGAAGAUGGCAACACAAAGCUCGGUACCGUACUGGUAUUGCUGCAGUGGAAGGCAGAGAAUGAUGUGCCUGACAAAGGAUUUGAGAAGCUACUGAAAAUAUUGAAGAAGAAGCUUCCAAAGGAUAACGAAUUGCCCGACAGUACAUACGCAGCAAAGAAGGUCGUAUGCCCUCUAGGAUUGGAGGUGCAGAAGAUACAUGCAUGCCCUAAUGACUGCAUCCUCUACCGCGGUGCGUACAAGGAUCUGAACGCAUGCCCGGUAUGCGGUGCAUUACGGUAUAAGAUCAGACGAGAUGACCCUGGUGAUGUUGACGGCGAGCCCCUCAGGAAGAGGGUUCCUGCGAAGGUGACGUGGUAUGCUCCUAUAAUACCACGGUUGAAACGUCUGUUCAGAAACGGAGAGCAUGCCAAGUUGAUGCGAUGGCACAGUGAGGACCGUAAGAAAGACGAGAAGUUGAGAGCACUCGCUGACGGGUCGCAGUGGAGAAAAAUCGAGAGAAAGUACUGGGAUGAGUUUGCAAGUGAGCCAAGGAACGUAUGGUUUGCUUUAAGCGCGGAUGGCAUUAAUCCUUUCGGGCAGCAGAGCAGCAAUCACAGCACCUGGCCCGUGACUCUAUGUAUGUAUAACCUUCCUCCUUGGAUGUGCAUGAAGCGGAAGUUCAUUAUGAUGCCAGUUCACAUCCAUGGCCCUAAGCAACCCGGCAACGACAUUGAUGUGUACCUAAGGCCAUUAGUUGAAGAACUUUUACAGCUGUGGAAUGGAAACGGUGUAUGUACGUGGGAUGAGCACAAACAGGAGGAAUUUAACCUAAAGGCGUUGCUGUUCGUGACCAUCAACGAUUGGCCCGCUCUUAGUAACCUUUUAGGACAGACAAACAAGGGAUACCACGCAUGCACGCACUGUUUACUUAACACCGAUAGUUUAUACCUGGCAAGCUGCAGGAAGGAUGUGUACCUGGGCCAUCAUUGAUUUCUUCCGACCAACCAUCAAUGUCGAAAGAAAGGCAAGCAUUUCAAAGGCGAGGCAGAUCACCGGAAGAAGCCCGCCAUGCGUACCGGUGAUCACGUACUUGCUAUGGUCAAUGAUUUACACGUAAUCUUUGGAAAGGGUCCCGGCAGACUAGCUGUUCCGAGUGACGCUGGGGGACACGCACCCAUGUGGAAGAAGAAAUCUAUAUGUUGGGACCUACCCUACUGGAAAGACCUAGAGGUCCGCUCUUCGAUCGACGUGAUGCACGUGACGAAGAACCUUUGCGUGAACCUGCUAGGCUUCUUGGGCGUGUAUGGGAAGACAAAAGAUACAACUGAGGCACGGGAGGACCUACAACAUUUGCACGAAAAAGACGGCAUGCCUCCAAAGCAGUAUGAAGGUCCUGCCAGCUAUGCUCUUACCAAAGAAGAGAAGGAAAUCUUCUUUGAAUGCCUGCUUAGUAUGAAGAUCCCGACUGGCUUCUCGUCGAAUAUAAAAGGAAUAAUAAAUAUGUUAGAGAAAAAGUUUCAGAACCUAAAGUCUCAUGACUGCCACGUGAUUAUGACGCAACUGCUUCCGGUUGCAUUGAGGGGGCUUCUACUGGAAAACGUCCGAUUAGCCAUUGUGAAGCUAUCUUCAUUCCUCAAUACAAUCUCUCAGAAGGUGAUCGAUCCAGAAAUCAUACCAAGGCUAAGGAGUGAUGUGGUGCAAUGUCUUGUCAGUUUCGAGCUGGUGUUCCCACCAUCCUUCUUCAAUGUCAUGACGCACGUCCUAGUUCAUCUAGUUGACGAGAUUGUCAUUCUGGGCCUCGUAUUUCUACACAAUAUGUACCCCUUUGAGAGGUUCAUGGGAGUCCUAAAGAAAUAUGUCCGUAACCGCGCUAGUCCAGAAGGAAGCAUCUCCAUGGGCCAUUAAACAGAGGAUGUCAUCGGGUUUUGUGUUGACUUCAUUCCUGGCCUUAAGAAGAUAGGUCUCCCUAAAUCACGGUAUGAGGGGAGACUGACUGGAAAAGGCACGCUUGGAAGGGAAUCAAUAAUAUGCAGGGACGGAUAUUCUUGGUCUCAAGCACACUACACAAUUCUACAGAACUCUACCUUGGUGACCCCGUAUGUCGAUGAACACAAUAACAGACUGCGCUCCAAACACCUGGAGCAGUGCGACGACUGGAUUACAUGUGAACACAUCAGGACUUUCAGCAGUUGGUUGGAAGCACAUAUCAGAGGUGACAACACUAUUUGUGAUGAGCUGUACUUGUUGUCCAGGGGACCAUCUUUGACUGUAUUGAUUUGGAAAGGAUACAAGAUAAACGGGAAUACAUUUUACACGAUUGACCAAGAUCAAAAGAGCACCAACCAAAACAGCGGUGUCCACUUUGAUGCAACAACCGAGAGGGGAAAGGACACACAUUAUGGUUACAUAGUGGACAUAUGGGAACUUGACUACGGACAUGAUUUUAAGGUCCCUUUGUUUAAGUGUAAAUGGCUCAAUCUGUCACGAGGAGGGGUACAGGUAGACCCACAGUACGGAAUGACAACAGUGGAUCUGAAAAAUCUUGGGUACACUGACGAAUCGUUCGUCCUAGCCAAUGAUGUGGCAUAGGUUAUCUAUGUGAAGGACAUGUCUACCAGACCGAGAAAGAGAAAAGAUAAGGAAGCGAAUACAUCAUACGAUGAGCCAAAGCGCCACGUAGUUCUUUCAGGAAAAAGGGACAUCGUGGGAGUGGAGGACAAGACAGACAUGUCUGAAGAUUAUGAAAAGUUUCAUGAAAUUCCUCCCUUCAAAGUCAAGGCUGACCCCAGCAUCCUGAUAAACGAUGAAGAUUAUCCAUGGUUACGGCGCAAUAAGCAAAUGACACAAGCGAAGAAAAAGUGAAGACUUUCUCCCGCAAAUAUUAUGAUGAUACCAUGCCAACUUUGUAACAGACGAGUAUGAUACCAUUAUCCGUUUUGUAUAUGCACAUGCUAUGUGGGUCAAUUUAUGAUACCAUGCCAACUUUCAACUUUUUCAGAGUUCAUUUGAAAUGCUUUAAUGUCUUAUGGUUCGGCCCUCGUAAUAAUUAAAAAUAGCAACAAUAAGUAUUUUGUUGUAAGUAGAAACAAAAUAAAAUAAAUAAAGCAAGAAAGAAAACAAAAAAACAAAAAAAGUGUUUUCAAAUUUGAAAACUAAUGGCACUAACANNNNNNNNNNNNNNNNNNNNNNNNNNNNNNNNNNNNNNNNNNNNNNNNNNNNNNNNNNNNNNNNNNNNNNNNNNNNNNNNNNNNNNNNNNNNNNNNNNNNNNNNNNNNNNNNNNNNNNNNNNNNNNNNNNNNNNNNNNNNNNNNNNNNNNNNNNNNNNNNNNNNNNNNNNNNNNNNNNNNNNNNNNNNNNNNNNNNNNNNNNNNNNNNNNNNNNNNNNNNNNNNNNNNNNNNNNNNNNNNNNNNNNNNNNNNNNNNNNNNNNNNNNNNNNNNNNNNNNNNNNNNNNNNNNNNNNNNNNNNNNNNNNNNNNNNNNNNNNNNNNNNNNNNNNNNNNNNNNNNNNNNNNNNNNNNNNNNNNNNNNNNNNNNNNNNNNNNNNNNNNNNNNNNNNNNNNNNNNNNNNNNNNNNNNNNNNNNNNNNNNNNNNNNNNNNNNNNNNNNNNNNNNNNNNNNNNNNNNNNNNNNNNNNNNNNNNNNNNNNNNNNNNNNNNNNNNNNNNNNNNNNNNNNNNNNNNNNNNNNNNNNNNNNNNNNNNNNNNNNNNNNNNNNNNNNNNNNNNNNNNNNNNCAAGUAGGCCCGAAAGCCUGCGGUGGAGAGGAGCUCGAGAGGGGUGCGGCAGUGGGGCUUAUAAACCACUGCGCGCCCCUCUCAACUAGCGAGGUGGGACUAAACUUUGGCCCCGAGGCGGGCAGCACAGGGGCCUUUGGUCCCGGUUGGUGGCACCAACCGGGACUAAAGGGGGAGGCAUUGGUCCCAGUUGGUGGCACCAACCGGUACUAAAGGCCGCCGGUUCCCGCCCUUUGGGCUGCCGAAAAAGAGGCCUUUGGUCCCAGUUGGUGGCACCAAUCGGGACUAAAGGGUGCAUUAGUCCCGGUUGGUGCCACCAACCGGGACUAAAGGGUUUUCUAUAUAAGCAACACUUAGCAGUUUCUGGCCAAAUCGCCCACUUCUCCCCCGACGCCCCCUGCUCCUCCUCGUCGCCGUCGCCGCCCGACGCCCCUGCUCCACCUUGCCGUCGCCGCCGCCACCGACGCCGUCAGGCUGCUCGCCUGAGCCGUCGCCGCCGCCCCCUGUGAGCAUNNNNNNNNNNNNNNNNNNNNNNNNNNNNNNNNNNNNNNNNNNNNNNNNNNNNNNNNNNNNNNNNNNNNNNNNNNNNNNNNNNNNNNNNNNNNNNNNNNNNNNNNNNNNNNNNNNNNNNNNNNNNNNNNNNNNNNNNNNNNNNNNNNNNNNNNNNNNNNNNNNNNNNNNNNNNNNNNNNNNNNNNNNNGCGCCGCCGCCCCUGCCUUGCGCGGCCGCCGUGCGCCACCCCGCCGCUCCUGCAAUUUCCAUAGCAAUUUUUUGCAUUUUUUUGUGUAUAUGUAUUUGUAUGUGUAUAUAUAUAUGUGUACAUGUUCAUAGUAUUUUUUUCAUAAGUGUAUUUUUUUGUUCAUUGCAUUUUUUUCAUAUAUAUAAUGUAUAUAUGUAUGUGGUAGCUAUAUAUAUGAUGAAUGGAUGUGGCUAUAUAUGUAUGUAUGAAUAUAAUGUUCAUAGCAUUUUUUGUUUAUAUAUGUUUUUUCAUAUAUGUAUUAAUAUUUUAUUUAGGUUGUUAGUAGAUAUCGAUUUUAGGUUAGUGCAUUUUAGGUUAGUGUAGAGGAGAAAGUAAAAUAAGGAAAAGGAAGAAAAGAGGAAGAAGGAAGAAGGAAGAAGAAGAAGAAAAAGAAUGAGAGGAAAAAGGAAAAUAAGAAGAGGAAGAAGAGGAGAGGAAGAAGAGGAGAAAUAAAUAAGAAGAGGAAAAAAGAAGAAAAAGAAGAGGAGAAGAAGAAAGGAAUAGAGGAGAAGAAGAAAAAAUAGAAAUUGUUUUCUAUUUUUUCUUCUUCUCCUCUAUUCCUUUCUUCUUCUCCUCUUUUUUUUUCUUCUUCCUUCUUCCUUCUUCCUCUUUUCUUCCUUUUCCUUAAUUAUUUUCCUUUCUCGUCAUUGUCAUGUCGUUGUCGAUAUAACCCCCUUGAGAUAACUUCGACAUGAGGGGCGGUCGAUAUAUAUACCCCCUCUCGACCGUGAUAACUUAUACAACGGCAGCACCCCCCCUCGGCCCACUCGCUCAACCAAAACUCUCGAGGACACACAAACCCUAGAGAGAAAACGAUGUUGGUCUCCUACCCCCUCCCGCUGCGCCCCUACCCGACAAAUUAACUCUCUCGAGGCCACCCAAAUUUACCAAGUUAAAAGAGCGUUGUCGUCGAGGCCACCCCAAACCCUUGAAGCGUUGUGUCGAGGCGACCCCAAACCCUAGAGAAGCAGCGUCGAGGCCACUAACAUGAUUCCUUAUUGUGACUAGCUAGCUAGUUCUACGUUUGCCACUAAUGUAUAUAUAUAUAUCCAUCUGUACCAUGUUUGAAUAAUAAUUGACAUGUUGUAAAUAUUUGCAGAAACUAUGGAGCACUCCCGAGACGAAGAAACAGAAGCGAUGUUGGGGGACAUAAUCGCAAAUGGAAGUGAUGAAGUUGCAUCAUUUCUCCUCGACAUCGAUGGACAGCUAGAAGAACUGGGUGAAGAAGAGGGCUAUGUUCAUGAUGGCUUCGGCCCAUUAAUGCCGGUACAAGAAGAGGACUAUGUUCAUGAUGGCUCCGGUGACACAAUGGAGGUACAAGAAGGAGACCGUGCUGACUGCUCUGGUGACCGAACCGAGUCAGGCCAGGUAUAUAUAUAUUAGUUAAGCCCGUGCUGACUAGUUAAUUGAUGCUUCCAUUGUUUUGGUAUAUGUACACAUAUUAAUUACUCUCGUCUUUCUUCCUUAUAAUUUCUAGCCCUCCGGAUCGAACACAACUUCGGUAAGGAGACGAGGCCCGAAGAAAAAGUUGAGCUCGGAUGAAAAGUUUGAGAUCAUAGAAAUCACGCCCGACGGCGAACCGAUUGAACCCAUCCGGACAAGGAAGGCAUUUUCUGCUCAGUGCGGGGUUCUUGUUAGGGACAAGAUCCCGAUCAGCAUCCAGCAACGGUAUAAGCCUAAGGAGGAAGACCCUGAGGUGUCUUCUGUCAAUGAUAUGCAGAAAGAAGAUCUUUGGACUGAGCUGAAGGCAAAUUUCACCCUACCGCCAGAGGAGGAUCCAGAGAAGCCAGUUAAAGAGCCAUUAAUCAAGUCUUGUGCUCUUAAGAAGAUGGCAACCCUAAUGAGGAGGUGGAGGAAAGAGCUGAACCAGUUUGUCAAAAAAAAGACACCAGAAUUCAUCGGCAAAUAUGAGAAGAUCAAAGAUCACUGGCCCGCAUUUGUGGCCCACAAGACAUCGGAAAAGAGUAAGAAGAUGUCGGUGACAAACAAGAAAAAUGCUGCAAAGAAGAAGCUUCACCAUCGCACGGGGUUAGGUGGCUACCUCAAAGCGCGGCCUAAGUGGUCCAAGGCUGAGCAUGAUCUGCUCCGGCGCGUCGUACUCCUUCUCCUCCGCCUCGUAAGCAAGCACGAAAGAAGACAGACGCCGCAGCCGCUCCGUCUGCUCCGACGUCUAGCAGCACAACCAGAGGCGGGAGGCAAUACAAAUACGGUCCAUCUCUCAAGCCUCUAGAGAAGUUACCGUAUGAGAGGUCCGAAGAGGAAAAUGAUACGAUUGUGCGGACCCAUGUGAAGGAUUUCUUUGAAGGGGUGAAAGCAAAGAGACAUCCACCUCCGAAGGAGAAGGUAGAUCCGGUGAAAGCAAAGCGCACUAUCGAUGCCCUGAGGAAACCACCAAAGUCUCCGCCGAGAACCAACUAUGAGCGCAUUACUGAACAGACAUAUCUCCAAGCCCAGCGGUAGGGAACUACUGUCAGUGAUAAAAGGUUAAAAGAACGAGCAAAGGGGAAAAAAUUGCCCAGCUCGGCGAACAAGCACAGCAAUCAUGCCCCCCGCUCAAUGUGUCUAAUGCUUCGGGGACGGUGGCCGGUUAUGAAAAUCUUGAAGAUUACCUGCCUGACGAUGCACUUCCUGAUUUCAUGGCGGUGGACGAACACAGAUACGAGUACGGAAAGCCUCUCGUCAAAGAUGAAAAAUCUCUGACAACAAUGAUGCGAAGAUUCCAUAGUUGGUACAUGAAAACCUGCAGAGAGUCUGAGGCGACGAACAGUUUGUAUCUGAACAUUAAAGAGGAGCACGACCUCGUUUCAAAUGAUCUGUUGUGUGUUCCAUUUGAUGAGUUCUUUCUUCAAUCAAAAGGCCCUCGAUAAAUUAAUGGUCUUUUGCUACUGCCUGUAAGUACUAUUUCUGUCAUUAAGUCUCUAUAUAUAGCUCUGCUCUUUCAUUGCAUGUAUUUAUAAUUAAUUAUCCUCAAUAUAUUAUGCAGAUUGAAGAUCGUCGAGUGCAAAAAACAAGAAAUUUAUGAUAUUGGGUUCAUUAACACAAAUAUCAUAGAUGUAUUUCUGGUUGAAAAGAACGUCAAAGAGGCCGAGGACAACUUGCUACGAUCGUUGAUCAAAAAUCAAAACAAAGAUAACAUACUCUUUCCUUACAACGGCAAGUGAGUGUUACUGUCGUGUAAAUAUUCGGUUUCCCUUAUUACUCGAGCGAGGUUAUAGUAAUGUAAUUGAUGAGUUAUGCAUGCGUGCGCAGGUACCACUAUAUUCUUCUGGAGAUUAAGCUUGAGCGGGGACUAGUAACCGUCUUAGACUCGAGAUGUAAAGAUCCCGAAACCUAUGCGGACAUGACUGAAAUGCUCAGCAAGUAAGUUCAAUCGAUCAUUAUCGCACCAUAUCGGCAACUUUUUGUUCAUUUCCUGAUAUCUCAAGUAAUAAUAAUUAUUUUCUUUGUCUUGCAGGGUUUGGAAACAGUUCACCGCAGAAGCUCCGGGACUGCCGAAGGAGCUGCGAUAUACAUACCCGAAAGUAAGUACUACUGGGCUAGCUAGUUGCGCGCAUCUCCCGUUGAUUCUAUAGCUAUACUUUCAUCAAUGCCAUUUAUAAUGCUUCAUUAUUAGUUUGAUUGACCUCUAUUUCUCGUAAAAUGCUUGUGGCAGGAGGAAGGGAAUGAUUUCUGUGAAUACUACGUGUGUGAGUUCAUCCACACUACGACUUUGAAAAACAAACGGGGCUAUUCUAAAAGACAAUAUGAAGUGCAUAAGCAAUAAUAUUCACAAUUUCAUUUUAUUACACCAUCAUUUCUGUUGAGUUUCAUUCAUAUAUGUAUUAAUUAACCCCUUUCUUCAAAUUAGACGUGGCAGAUGCGGAAUGAACUCCUAGAACCAGAUCGCAUGAAAGCAAUUCAAUAGGAAUUAGCGGGAUUCUUUCUUGACCACGUCAUCAGUAAAGCCGGAGAAUACCAUGUGGAAAUUGAUUUCAAAUGCUAGGGGUUUGUAAUUAAGAGAUCUUAUACAUAUUGUACAUGUGUGUAGCCAGUAGCGUCGGAUACAUGAUACGAAAACUUGUUGUUCGACCAAUCUCUCAGAGAAGGAGAGGUCGAUCGAUCACUUCUCUUGGUAUGCAUGACGAACUUCUGUACUGAAUGGUUCUCUCGAUCACUUAUGUAUAUAUAGUAUGUAGCGUCGAUCAAGCAUGGACAUAAGAGAGGACACUUCUCUCUAUUAAUUAGCUAGCUAACACAAUAUAUGAAACACCUAAAUUAACCCCCCAAAACACCCAACCCCCCUCCUUUCAAAAAAAAUAAAAACCCCAGCCACUGGAAUGCUGACGCGUGGAUGCAUUUUGGUCCCGGUUGAAGCCACCAACCGGGACCAAAGGCCCCCUGACUGGGCUCGGCGCACAGGGCCACGUGGAGGCAUAUUGGUCCCGGUUCGUGUUUGAACCGGGACUAAUGGGUGGAGGUAUUAGUAACGACCCAUUAGUCCCGGUACAUGAACCGGGACUAAAGGCCCUUACGAACCGGGACUAUUAGGUGUUUUUCUACUAGUGUAUGUAGUCCACCAUCUCCGGAUCAGAGACGGGACGGCCAGUAGCAGCUAGUUCAUCCCCGAGACUCUUCAUCUUCGCCAUGUAUGCUGAACUGGACAUGGUGCCUUUUUUGGUGUUGGUGAUCGCAAUCCUCAGAUUGGUAAUCCGAGACUGCGAUUGUGAGGCGAAGAGGUUGUUGAUUGUUGUCCAGAGCUUGAAGGUGGAGUCCCUCCCGACGACCUGUGCAAGGAUCUCAGGAGACAUGGAGUUGAGCAGAUAUGACAUAACCUGUUGAUCUUUGGCGAUCCAAGGUCCAUACAAAGGAUUCGGCUCUUGGGCCGUAGUUUUGUCCGCCUUUGGGACCUCCACCAUCUUCGGCGGAGCGGUGUCAGAGUGGUCCAGCAGCCCGGUAACCUGCGCACCUCGCAGGGCUGGGAGAACCUGCGUCUUCCAGAGGAUGAAGUUUCCUCUCGCAAGUUUUUCCGACGGAGGCGAACCAAGGUUCAGGGCAACGCCGACUGAGGAAGCCAUGACGGCGAUCGCGGAUAUGAUCUAGGGUUUUGUUUUCUGGUUUGUGGCUAGAUGUAUGGAAGAGGGGCUCUGAUGACCAUGUAAAGUUAUGAAGCGUUCCUACUCCCAUCGAGGGGAGCCGCAGCUGUAUAUAUUGAUGUGGGCAGGCGAUGCCUUGGUUUACAAGAUAGAGUUACAAGAGUUUGAAAGGGAUACAAGAAAGGAAGAGGUUGAGAUUACAUAAACUCUAACACACAGAUAUUUUAGCCUCUAUUGGGAUCAGAUAUAGCCAAUAACUGAUAUUCUAGCCUCUGUUUGUGAUGUUGGUUUCGUCUAAUAAUGUUGUGAUGAUUCAAAUUUGGCGAUCUCCACAACAGUGAAACUAAUUUUUAUUGCUCGAGUCAUACAAAGUCGCAGAUAUCAAUUUGAUGGCUUUUCCAUGUCCUGCAGGUAUCAGAGUUACGUUUCGGUGGCUGAGAUGAAGAAGUGGCUCGUUUGAUGCGAUGCACACGGAAAUUUACCCCUUAUGUAGAAUGCAGUGGUCAGAUGUGAAGUGGAUUCGUAGGAACUAAUCACUUAUUUUGCUCAAACCCGUCUUGUUAUCGAACGCAGUCAAUUGGCCAACUUACAUGGAGACAUAAGAAUUGCUUGUAUUAAUCAGUACCUUCCAGUUGAUCUUUGCUUGCAUGCAUUCUGUGUGUGUUCAUAUUUUUACUGUUUUG
rnacentral:lncRNA from 1 species